rnacentral:lncRNA from 1 species
UUGAGGUUGAUUCACUUAGUGCUUAUUGAUGUAAAUAGGUGAUUUAUGAUUAGAUACGAACGAAUUGGCGGUGGAACUAAUGGGCAAAGCUAUAAUUGAGACGUGAGCUAUGUCUAAGGUAUCGAGGUAAGUGUUUGGUCUAACCUUAGCUUGAGGAAUUAGGAUUUUAGUCCUAUUUGCUAUGUGAUAAUUGUUGAGUACCACAUAUAGGGAUGGUGAUGAGUAUCUAUACGUUGGUGUCUAGCAUGAUCGUGAGUCUUUAUAUUGUGAAUAUCAUGAUUUCAUUGUUUCUUUCAUGCCUUGGUGAUGAUUUCUAUAUGGUGUGAAAAGCUUGUGAAAGAAAUUGUGAACUUUGAACAUCCAGGAUCAUUGGCUUGAGUUAUGUUACAAAUUAUGAAAGUAUAUGAGAUGAUUGAAUCUUUUGGAGCAUUGGCUCAAGUGAUAAAGUAAUUUGUGAAGUCAAACUAAUGAUUUCUAUAUGUUGUGAAAAACUAGCGAAAGGAAUUGUGACCUUUGAACAUCGAGGAGCAUUGGCUCGAAGAUAUUACAAAUUUGUAAAAGUAUAUGAGAUGAUUGAACCCUUUAGAGCGUUAGCUCAAGUGGUAAAAUGGGUUUUGAAGUAAUAGUAAAAGAAAGAGAAUGAGUUAUUACAUUGUUCCCUUUCCGGGUGUUUAUGGCUUUGUGGAUUAUUUUCCUUUCCGAGAUGCUGAGUUUUAUUGAUAUUGUUCCCUUGCCAGGAUUUAAAUGUUAAAUUGUGUUCCCUUGCCCGGAUUUCUAUUAUUACUUAUUUACUCCCUUUUCCCUUUGUUUGUGAUUUUUGUUUGAGUGAGGAAGAGUGUUAAAGCACGAAGGAUGAUGUCGUGUAUUUUUGUAUUGUGAGGAAGAGUGUUAAAGCACGAAGGGUGACGUCGUUCCACACGAUAUACCAUUUCAUGCAGAUUCUAUUGAUUAUAUGUGAGGAAAGAGAGUAAAAGCACGAAGGAUAAUUCCGU